GUUAUGCUUAGUGGUAGAGCGCUUGCCUAGCAUGUGUGAGGCCCUGGGUUCGAUUCUCAGCACAACA
rnacentral:tRNA from 1 species